AAAAUAUUUAUGGUUUAUAAAAUUUAUUUUAAAUUUAUUUUUCAUAUAAAUUUUUGUAUUAAAAUUAUAUUAUUUUAAUAAUUUUAUAAUUUAUAUAGUAGUAAUUAAUUUUAAAUUAUUUAAGAAAUUAAGAUUUAAUAAUAUAAAAAUUAAUAACAAAUUUUGUGCCAGCAGUUGCGGUUAUACAAAAAUUAAGAUAAAUUUUUUUAGUAGUUAAUAUAUAUGUAUAUACAUAUGUAUAUUUAUUAUUUAAAUAAAAUAUAAUUAAAAAUUUAAAUUAUUAAGUGAAAUUUUAAUUUAAAUAUAGUUUAUUAUUUAUAUAUGAUUUAAUAAAAUUAAAAUAUAAACUAGGAUUAGAUACCCCUAUUAUUUUAAAAUUAAAUUUUUACACUAAAAUAGUAAAUAAUUAUUUAUUAAAACUUAAAUAAUUUGGCGGUAUUUUAGUUUAUUUAGAGGAAUCUGUUUAUUAAUUGAUAAUCCACGAAUAAAUUUACUUAAUUUAAUAUUUUGUAUAUCGUUGUUAAAAAAAUAUUUUAUAAUAAUAAUAAUAUUUAAAAAUUUUUAUUAAAAAUUAAAUCAGAUCAAGAUGCAGAUUAUAAUUAAGAAUAUAAUGGAUUACAAUAAAAAUAUUUAAAUGAAAAUUUAUAUGAAAAAUAAAUUGAAAUUGGAUUUAAAUGUAAUUUUAUUUAUUUUAAUAAAAUGAUUAAAAAUUAAAAUAUGUACAUAUUGCCCGUCGCUUUCAUUAAUAAAUUGGAAUAAGUCGUAACAAAGUAGAGGUACUGGAAAGUGUUUCUAGAAAGAA
rnacentral:ncRNA from 1 species